AGUGAACGCUGGCGGUAGGCCUAACACAUGCAAGUCGAACGGCAGCACAGUAAGAGCUUGCUCUUACGGUUGGCGAGUGGCGGACGGGUGAGGAAUACAUCGGAAUCUACUUUUUCGUGGGGGAUAACGUAGGGAAACUUACGCUAAUACCGCAUACGACCUACGGGUGAAAUCAGGGGAUCUUCGGACCUUGCGCGAUUGAAUUAGCCGAUGUCGGAUUAGCUAGUUGGCGGGGUAAAGGCCCACCAAGGCGACGAUCCGUAGCUGGUCUGAGAGGAUGAUCAGCCACACUGGAACUGAGACACGGUCCAGACUCCUACGGGAGGCAGCAGUGGGGAAUCUUGGACAAUGGGCGCAAGCCUGAUCCAGCCAUACCGCGUGGGUGAAGAAGGCCUUCGGGUUGUAAAGCCCUUUUGUUGGGAAAGAAAAGCAGCAGGUUAAUACCCCGCUGUUCUGACGGUACCCAAAGAAUAAGCACCGGCUAACUUCGUG
rnacentral:rRNA from 1 species